GACGAACGCUGGCGGCGUGCUUAACACAUGCAAGUCGAACGGAAAGGCCCUGCUUGCAGGGUACUCGAGUGGCGAACGGGUGAGUAACACGUGGGUGAUCUGCCCUGCACUUCGGGAUAAGCCUGGGAAACUGGGUCUAAUACCGGAUAGGAGCCAUUUUUAGUGUGAUGGUUGGAAAGUUUUUUCGGUGUAGGAUGAGCUCGCGGCCUAUCAGCUUGUUGGUGGGGUAAUGGCCUACCAAGGCGGCGACGGGUAGCCGGCCUGAGAGGGUGGACGGCCACAUUGGGACUGAGAUACGGCCCAGACUCCUACGGGAGGCAGCAGUGGGGAAUAUUGCACAAUGGGCGCAAGCCUGAUGCAGCGACGCCGCGUGGGGGAUGACGGCCUUCGGGUUGUAAACUCCUUUCGCUAGGGACGAAGCUUUUUGUGACAGUACCUAGAGAAGAAGCACCGGCUAACUACGUG
rnacentral:rRNA from 1 species